CCCGCACAAGCGGUGGAGUUAUGUGGUUAAUUCGAUGUUACACGAAGAACCUUACCUGGGUUUGACAUGCUAGUGGUAAUGAAGCGAAAGCUAAGUGACCCGCAAGGGAGCUAGCACAGGUGCUGCAUGGCUGUCGUCAGCUCGUGUCGUGAGAUGUUGGGUUAAGUCCCGCAACGAGCGCAACCCUCGCCUCUAGUUGCCAGCAUUCGGUUGGGCACUCUAGAGGGACUGCCGGCGACAAGUCGGAGGAAGGUGGGAUGACGUCAAAUCAUCAUGCCCCUUAUGACCUGGGCUACACACGUGCUACAAUGGGCGGUACAAAGGGCUGCGAACCCGCGAGGGGGAGCGAAUCCCAAAAAGCCGCUCUCAGUUCGGAUUGCAGGCUGCAACUCGCCUGCAUGAAGCCGGAAUCGCUAGUAAUCGCGGAUCAGCAUGCCGCGGUCGAAUACGUUCCCGGGCCUU
rnacentral:rRNA from 1 species